ACCGUGGUGGCUGCGUGUGCGCAUGCGCACUAGCAUGCGCGGAAGGACGAAUGGUAGCGCUGGAGUGGGCAUUGCGAUGCAACCACUGUCUUCCGCCCCGGUUACCAUGGUACCGGUGGGCAAGUGGAUGUUGGUGUCUAUGGGAACGGGUCAGCUGAAGAGAGGACAGCCUCGGGAGGAAGAACUGUUACACAUUUUAAAGUCAAAACCCAGGUUUAAGCUGCAGAGGAGGAGCUGGGCAGAUCUGGGGUGCCCUCACCGGCCUCUCUGCGUGUCUGGAGGACUCUGGAUAUCUCCGCCCAGACUGCUGGAGUUCCCCCAGGCUUCCAGGUGCAGUGAAGGGGAGAGAGCCGAAGAUCAGUGGAAUAGAUUAGAAGAUACAACCACAAAAAAAAAAAAAAAAGAAGAUACAACCACAACUACAAACACACUCAACCACCUUAUCUUUGAUAAAGGAGCCAAGCAGGUUCACUGGAAGAACGACAGUCUCUUUAAUAAAUGGUGCUGGAAAAACUGGCUCUCCAUUUGCCGAAAACUAAAGCUAGACCCAUGUCUAUCACCAUGUACUAAAUUAAAAUCUAAAUGGGUCAAAGAUCUGAAUAUUAAAACAGAAACACUAAAUCUGUUGGAAGACAAAUUAGGUAGAAACCUUGGAGACAUAGGAGUAGGUAAAGAAUUCAUGAACAGGACUCAAACCGCACGGGAAAUUCUUCCCAGAAUCAAUAACUGGGACCACUUCUUAUUAAAAAGUUUCUGCAUGGCAAAAGAAAUCUCCAGCAUAGUGAAAAGAAAACCCACAAACUGGGAAAAGAUUUUAGUGAACUCUCUCUCAGACAAGGGCCUCUUGUCUAAAACAUAUAAAGAAUUAAAGAAACUCAGACCUCCAAAAUUCAAAGAUCCAAUCCAAAAAUGGGCAUCUGAGAUGAAUACGCAAUUCUCAGAUGAAGAAAUGCAAAUGGCAAAUAAAUACAUGAAAACAUGCUCAUCAUCAUUGGUCAUUAGAGAAAUGCAAAUUAAAACCACACUGAGAUACCAUCUCACUCCUGAAAGAAUGGCCAGGAUCAAGAAAACCGACAACAAAUGCUGGAGAGGCUGUGGGGAAAAAGGAACUCUCCUGCACUGCUGGUGGGAGUGUAGACUGGUACAGCCUUUGUGGAGAUCUGUCUGGAGAUUUCUCAAAAAGUUGGGAAUGGAAAUCCCAUUUAUUCCAGCUAUUCCACUUCUAGGCAUAUUCCCAGAAGAACUGAAAGCAUCAUACCACGGUGAUAUAUGUACACCUAUGUUUAUAGCAGCACAAUUUGUAAUCGCCAGAUCUUGGAAACAACCCAAGUGUCCAUCAACUGAGGAAUGGAUAAAAAAGUUGUGGUAUUUCUAUAUAAUGGAGUAUUAUUCAGCUAUAAAGAAGGAUCACAUUGAGAUAUUUAUCAAUAAAUGGGCGCAGCUUGAGACCAUACUCAUAAGUGAAAUAAAUCAAUCUCGCAUGUGUGAAUACCAAAUAGUUUCCCUAAUGUAACUAAUGAUUCAAAUAUAUAAAAAUAUGUGGUAAUCAUGAUUCCCCAUUAUGUGGCCUUGAAGCCUUAUAAAGUUUUCACUCAUUAAUUAGAAAGGCUUUAUUCUGGGCUUCUUGAUAUGAAAAUAUUUGAAGCUAGAGUAUAUGAAGUUUUAUCCAAACAUUUCAAGGAAAAAGACAGACACUAUGGUAACUACUAUUAAGUCGGGUUAUAUGGUGGUGAAAUACUAGGUUGCUGAAACAGUCAUGCUUUGACCUCUAUUGUUAUAUUGCUUUGUCCUGUUUUAUCUUAAUCUCCCCCUUAUUGUUUUAAAAAAAAAUUUAGUCAUUUCUUAUGUUUGUCUUAAUUAAAGAAAAAAUUUUAAAAAUUAGAUAUAUAAAUAGUAACUCUUUUUGAUUUCCUAUUAACUUGUUUUGAAGUCCUGUAGUACUCCCACAAUCUUGUUUUGACCGAUUAGACUCUGUUCCAUUCUAUAUGAUAGUAUCAAGUUUGAAGACAUACGCAACUACUUUGAAGGCAAUAAGAUUCACUAAGUUACCCAUUCUGGUUUGACUAUUGUCUUCUUUGGAAGUCCUGUAAUGUUUACAAUGCCUAAGUUUUAUUGGUCUUUUUCUCUACUGUUUUGUCCAACUUUAUAAUAUCUAAUGAGAUAGACAAUUCUUUUUAAGGAAACAAGGGACAACGUUGAUAACCAUUGUUGAUAACCUUGUACUCUGUUCUACAUCAUGUGCUAUGUCUAUCCUUGGUUUUGACUGACAACUUUGUUUUGCCAUAUUUGACUUUAUUCUCUCCCCCCCAAAAAAAGUAAUAAGCACUAAAGAGUAAUAAAAUCCAAAAUGUGUAAAUUUUGUUGUAAAAAGGAGAGGGGGAAAAAAAGAGCUCUAAUGGAUAUAACAGCAAGUAUGUUUAGGGGUGUUAAAUAGCUGACUAUAUUAAUGUUUUUGGAUCAUUGAGCACAGCUGUUUGCAGUCUCCCUGUUUGAAUGUCCACCUUGUAUUCUUUGAUACUGUGAUUUGAGCAACUAUUUUCAAGAUGAUAAUAUGUAAUCUACUAACAGGUGAUUUCUUACUGUUAUGUUUUUUUUGUUUUGUUUUGUUUUGUUUGUUUUUGUAGUUCUGUAUUACGUGUACCCUUACACCGCUUUGGUUUGUUUUGUGUUUUUCUCUUUUUCCUCUUAAAUAAAAAAAUAAUAAUAAUAAGGUUUAAAAAGGGGUAACAGCCGGGCGUCGGUGGCUCAUGCCUGUAAUACCAGCACUCGGGAGGCUGAGGCAGGAGGAUCCUUACGAAUUCAAGACCAGCCUAGGCUACAAAGGGAGUUCAAAGCCAGCCUGAACUGCACAACGAGACCCUGUCUCAAAAAGACAAAAAAAAAAAAAAAGGAGGUAACAAUCUGGGUAUGGUGGUGCCUGCCUGUAAUCCCAGAACUAGGGAGGCUGAGGCAGGAGUUCAAGGUCAGCCAAAACUACAUAGUGAGACCUUGUCUCAAAAAAAAUAGCCCCCGGUUUAGUGUAAAAACCUUGGGUUUAGUCUACAACAAAGGGAAAAGACAUAUUCCAUGCCAUUAUAUAGACCAUUAUUCAUUUAAUUUACACUAUUGUUUCUAUUUUUUCUAACUGUACAUAUUCUCACUUACAGUUUGCCGUUGUAAUUCAGUGGUAGAGCAGUUUAAUUUCCUAGCAUGCAUUAUGCCUUGGGUUUGAUUCCCAGCCCCAAAACACAAAAGAAUGCCCAAGUGUGCAUAGCAGCCAGAUUCCAUGAGUGCCACCAUCCCGAGGGCCCUGAAGAUUACACCAUCCAUAACCCACGAGGAGGGGAAAUAAACGGAAGCAUCUCAGGUCGCAGCCUGACCUCGGCCUGGGGACAGUGCUGGGGUGAAGGCAGGGAGGCUGGGCACAGGGAGGGACGCCGAGGUCAGGUACCGACGUUGCUCUUGCACCAGGGGCCUCUCACCUUACGUUUCCUCUGCUGUGGCGCAGCACCUGCCUGGCAAGUGCAAGAUCCUGGGUUUAAUUCCCAGUACCAAAAAAUAAAAAAAAUUUUAAAUAGACGAUUCCUGUGCUGAGGUUUGUAAGCACCUCCUUAGCACUUACGAGGACAGCGCUAAUGUGAAAGGUGUCAAACAAAGAAAUCCCACUCUUCUGUUCCCCAGACGCUGUUUGGUUUUCUGAGCCACAGUCUCACUGCAUAGCCCAGGCUGGUGCUAAGCUCACAGCCCACCUCCCUUAGCCUCCCCCGGGCCAGGGUAACAGAAGAGAAGCACCAGACCCCAAUUCUUCAGAUUUCUUUCUAUAUGUUUGAGUAACUUCAAAUAUUAUAAUAAAUAUAUAUAGAUAUAUUCAGUGGUUUGAGAGUCCAGCGGCCAGUCAGUUUAGAAGCGCGCACUCUUGUAGCUGUGAGGCCAGUGCGCAGCCACAGAAAGGAGGACCCACGGGGCUGGUCGGCGCUCUGAGCCCCAGGCUGCGCCAGCCGUGGCAGCCAGCAAAACCCAGCGUCACCGCGGCAACCGUGGCAACCCAGGAGCACGGCCGGCACCUUCUGCCCCUUCCCCCCCCCGCCCCCGCCCGCAUUCCUAGGGGCCCAACUAUUUAUGCCGGCCACGCACGAGCCUGCGCCUCUGUAAUCAGGUUGUGUGGGCCCAGGGAUGCCUCCACUCUGCGGCCCCAUGGGGCUGUAAUGCGCCUGCGCGGCAAUUGCCGCAUUCCAUGCUGGGAUUGGGUUUCCAUGGACACUGUCACCAGUGAGGCCCUGCAGGGAAGAUCCCAACGCAGGAAGCUGCCAAACCCAGGAGCACCUUGUGCUUGUGCAAAUAUAACUGGGCUGCCCCGCCUAUAGACAGUGACAGCGAAUGUGCUUGAGUGGUGUUCUGUGCGGUUCUCGCGUGUGCUGCAAAUGGUGCAGCUGACUCCGGCGCAGGCUACAUGCGAACCUAUUUGUUGUCACCCAGCAGUGGGCCACGAGUUGGUAGGGUCCAACCAGGCGUCCACGGAAGACUGUCCUGAGGCAGCCGCCCGAGGGGACCGAGUUGAACCGGUGUUAACGCUGAGUUCAGGCCAGCUGAAGAGAAAACACCCUGAGAAGGAAGAACCGUUCCACAUCUUACAAUUAAGGCUGCGAGGAAACGCCAAGAUGACCAAUCCAGCGUUGAGAGCCAAGACUACGGCCCACGUAAGUGUGUCUCUUUCCUUGAAAUGAGAUGGGCUCACGGAUGCUGUUGUGAAUUCACUGCAGCUGCCCGCCUAAGCAGGCCCCUUCCCAGAGCUCCGUGCUCCAGUGAAUGAAAUCUCAGAAAGCCCUGCGCCUGUCUUCCAGCUGUCUACUUGGUCACUGCACAGAUCAUUCAUGUCUCCUCUUUGUGCUCAGUUUUUUGUCCAGAGCAGUGACAGGACCAAGAAGGAGCAAAGUCUGUUGGGGGAAAUAUGAACUAGGUCCCUGAUAUGGUGAGUUAGCUACACUGGUCCUGCGGGGCCCUGGGAAAGCAAGACUCCACCGCCACUUCUUCUGGGUAAAUAAGAGGGAAUGUUCAUAGGUAAGAGGGGGUGUUCACAUCUCAGUCUUACCAUGUGUGGCUUUUAAAAUUGACAAAAUCAAGCUGGGUUCCCACCUGUACUCCCAGCAGGAUGCAGGAGGCUGAGGCAGAAGAAUCACCAUGAGCUCGGUCUGCCUCUGAUCCAUAGCAAGACCCUGUCUUAAGAAAACCAUACACAAUAAAAAAUUUUUAAAUUUGUCAUUACA